AACGUAGGAGACAAACGUUAUCCGGAGUUACUGGGCGUAAAGGGCGUGUAGGUGGUUUUGUAAGUCUGGCGUGAAAUUUUUCGGCCUUAACCGGGAAAGGUCGUCGGAUACUGCAAGGCUAGAGGACGGUAGAGGCGUGUGGAAUUCCGGGUGUAGUGGUGAAAUGCGUAGAGAUCCGGAGGAACACCAGUGGCGAAGGCGACACGCUGGGCCGUACCUGACACUGAUGCGCGACAGCAUGGGGAGCAAACAGG
rnacentral:rRNA from 1 species